rnacentral:rRNA from 1 species
CUGACACAGGUGCUGCAUGGCUGUCGUCAACUCGUGUCGUGAGAUGUUGGGUUAAGUCCGUAACGAGCGCAACCCUGUCCUUAGUUACCAGCACGUUAUGGUGGGCGACUCUAAGGAGGACUGCCGGUGGACAAACCGGAGGAAGGUGGGGAUGACGUCAAGUCAUCAUGGCCCUUACGGCCUGGGCUACACACGUGCUACAAUGGUCGGUACAAAGGGUUGCCAAGCCGCGAGGUGGAGCUAAUCCCAUAAAACCGAUCGUAGUCCGGAUCGCAGUCUGCAACUCGACUGCGUGAAGUCGGAAUCGCUAGUAAUCGUGAAUCAGAAUGUCACGGUGAAUACGUUCCCGGGCCUU